rnacentral:rRNA from 1 species
AUGCAAGUCAGUAGGAUUUUCCAUGAAUUGAGGCAGAUCAAGCAAGAGCAGAAGACAGUGACUGAAUUUGCGGGAGAAAUCAAGAAACUCUAUAGAGACCUGGAGUCUUUUAGACCAUUUAAGGCACAUGAUCCCAGGGACGUACCCCUCCUUCGAGAGUGGUUUGAACCAUUGUUGGUUCAGACUUUUCUUGAUGGUCUGAACUCAGAGUUCAAUCUCCGUUCCCAACUCAUACAAGCCACAGCAGAUUGGCCUACAUUGGAUCAAGCCAUCUCAAGUAUACUUGAGGAAGAAACAUGGCUGGCCAAUCAGAUCACAACUUCACAAACAAAUGUUGAUAGCAGAGCUGCACUAUCUUCAGUUAAGCAAAUUCAGUCUCCUAGUACUUCAAGAAAUGAGCAAGCAAAUGCUACUAGAUUCGACUACACGAGAAAGCCUAAGAUGGUGUGUGACCACUGUAAAAAACCAGGCCAUUUGAAGAAGAGUUGUUUUAAUAUAGUUGGUUAUCCUCCUGGAUGGCAACCGAAACAAUUUAACAGAUUCACUAGUGGCGGUAGUAAUGCAAGAAGACCAGAUCGAGCUCAUCUUACUUUAUUUGGGGGAGAACGGUCUGCUGUAACAGCCCAAGCACUUGAAGAAUUUAAAGGCAAACUUAUGGCAAAUACUUCAGAAGGCCCUAUUGAAGCUACAUCUGAUGCUCAUUCUGGGAAAGGAUCUGAAGACAAGAAGAAAUCUUGGGACUGGAAUUGA